rnacentral:rRNA from 1 species
UACGGGGGGGGCAAGCGUUGUUCGGAAUUACUGGGCGUAAAGGGUUCGUAGGUGGCCUACUAAGUCAGACGUGAAAUCCCUCAGCUCAACUGGGGAACUGCGUCUGAGACUGGUGGGCUUGAGUGCAGGAGAGGAACGCGGAAUUCCAGGUGUAGCGGUGAAAUGCGUAGAUAUCUGGAGGAACACCGGUGGCGAAGGCGGCGUUCUGGACUGUUACUGACACUGAGGAACGAAAGCCAGGGGAGCAAACGGG